rnacentral:misc_RNA from 1 species
UCCAGCAGCCGCGGUAAUACGUUCCCGGGUCUUCGCAUACACCGCCCGUCACACCACGAGAGUUUACAACACCCGAAGCCGGUGGGGUAACCCGCAAGGGAGCUAGCCGUCGAAGGUGGGGUAGAUGAUUGGGGUGAAGUCGUAACAAGGUAGCCGUAUCGGAAGGUGCGGCUGGAUCACCUCCUUUCUAAGGAAAUACCCGGUCACGAGGAUGACCGGAUACUCAGGCAGGCUUAUCGCUCACUCGUUGUCAGUUUUGAAAGAGCAAGGAACCCCAAAAAGUGAAGAGAAGCGUUGUAGCUUAUUCCGAUUACUUUUCGGGGACCCCAGAAGUCUUCUUUCAGCCUUUUAAGUCAUCCGUUUGGUGGCGAUGGCGGAGGGGAACCACGCGUACCCAUACCGAACACGACCGUUAAGCCCUCCAGCGCCGAUGGUACUUGGACCGCAGGGUCCUGGGAGAGUAGGACGUCGCCAAGCGGGUGUUAUGUAAUACACCUAUGCAGCAACCGGAAGGUUGACUGUAUUUACCUUUGCACCUUGAAAACUGGAUAACGAAAGAACAGAAAUGCUGAAACAUCCUUUAGCUUUAAAUGAGGUUAAGCUAGUAAGAGCGCACGGAGGAUACCUAGGCACACAGAGA